CGCCCCGCCUACGCACGCCAUCUUCCGCCAGAGAAUCCCGGCUCCUGCUGCAAUGGAGAGGCUGCUCUGGAAGCUCUGGCAUUGGGGUCUUCAUCCCUGCAGUCUUUUCCAGCUAUUGUGUAGAGCGUUUUUGGCAAGAGAAUCUAGGACCAAGCCACACCGGUUCUCUGCUUAACCCACUCCAUUCGACUGUUCUCCCAGCUAUGCUUCCAGAGUGCUCUGUGCAUUUCCACGAUCAACAAACGAUGAAUAAAUCUCUUACGGAGUUUUGCACUUGUUGCCUAGGUGGGAGUGCAAUGGCAUGAUCACGGCUCACCGCAACUUCUACCUCCCGGGUUCAAGCGAUUCUCCUGCCUCAGCCUCCUGAGUAGCUGGGAUUACAGGUGUGUGGAUCUCGUUCAUUUUCACGUAGACAACGAGAGCGAAACCACAGAGAAAAGAAACAUCCCGUGCAUCACGGCCUGACGAUGGAUUCCUGUUUCCUGCAAAAUGGGGAGUCUCCAAUAUAGCCUGUUUGAAAACCGGAAAGGAGAGCACUGACACAAUGCUGGUCUUCCACGCAUUCCUGGAAGUUUCUGGGACCCCACAGAGCACAGGAAACAAACAGUCAACAUGGUCACGCUUUCAGAGGGCAGAAACUUGAGCAACAGGAACCUUUGCAGAGGGCAAAGAAACGUGGAAUCCAGAAUCACGCUUCAGUUGGCCUAAGUGUGACUCCUGUGUGGAUGGGACUAUCCGCCUCGCGCUCUGUUGCAGGGCUCAACGUGGGGAUAUGUCAUCUGUGAACCAUGUGGAUGAAAAACAGACAACCAGGGCAGCACCUCGGUUUGCACGCGGUCUCGGGUCUACAUUUAGUUGCAAGGCGCUCCAUGGUGCUGGCAAGGAGGCUGGCGGGACAACGGUUGGCAAGUGAUGGAGAGCGAAGAGACAGAGGAGUCGAGCCGCAGAAAGAACUGGCCUGGCUUCUGCCCCGGCCCAGUGUUUCUCGGACUGAGGUCUCCGCCAACCCGAUUGAAGAACGCGGGGGAAAAAGGGAUGAGAGCUCCGCCUGGGCUAGUUAGAAAACCUAGGCUGCUGCCUGGAAACCCGCGCAUGCGCAGUAGACAGCCCACUUCCGGGUACCUGGACCGGCCCUGGGAUCCCCAGGAUGCUCAGGAAUUCUUUCUUGUCAUUCUUGACAGCCCUCCUCUGUGUGGAGUCUCUCGCUGGACCUGGAACUCAGGGAUCCUAGGCAGGUCAGCUGGAAGGGAAGACACGUCUCUCCAUACCAAGCCUGAGGUUCACCGCGAAAGAGAGGCCGCCGCUCUGCCCCCACCCCGCCCCAACCCCGCCCCAACCUGCUCCUCCAGCAGAGCCCAGUGUUCAUCCUGGCUGAGGAGUGGUUCCAGCAAAGCGGGCUCUUCCACGUCCUUCAGCUCCCCCAGUGGCGCCGGAUCUAGGAAAUGUUGUGCCUUUUGCUGAAACUCUGGGGUUGACAGGAGCUCAUCUAACAGGCUGGAGGUGAGUGCAGACGAGCUCCCCGGCUCCUGGAGCGGUUGGGAGGCGCCUGGAUGGCUGGCAUCUGUUCUUGACGCGGAGGCCUCGGGUCGCGAUCUCCGGAGGUGGAGGUGCCCCGUCUUCGGGUUCCCACGUCGCCCUGGCGACCUGGGGCUCCAGCCCCACCACGGAUUCUGGUGGGACUUGGGUGGCACAAGCACACCUUGCCCCUGUGACUCAGCUUGAGGGGGCCCAAAAUGAGCACGCGCCCAGCAGGCCCUCACGCAGCGGUUUCUGGUCUUCCUGUCAUUUGUUGGGGUGCGGAGGCCACCAGGGAGUCUGAGGAUGGGACAGCCCCAGUUCCGGAGGAACCAGGGCAGGGAACACAAAGCCCCACAUGCUCGGGCAGGUUGGGAGAGUCCUUCUGCCUGCGCAGCCUGGCUGGGCUGGAGCAGGGGGAUGGCCCUUGCUGCCUGGCUCACGAAAGCCCCCUGUGGGAGAGCCCCAGGCGCGCAGGGCAUGUGCGGUGUCGGAAGCGCCGUUCCCCAUGCCCUGUUGUGGGUGAACUCGAUAGAGGAGGGAGGAGGGUGACACCCACCGGGGGUGCCAAUUAGUAACCACAGUGGCCUCAAAGAACUCAAAUGAAAGGAAGACUUGCACGCCUUUCACUUGAAGUCCAGAGCUAGAAAUGAUUAAGCUUAAUGAAGAUGUAGAAUUUUCAUAGCUAGAGAGAAGUCAAUGCUUGGCUUCAAAACUUCAAAGGAUGGGCUGACUCUCUUUGAGGACCACUGCAGCUGGUGACUUUUAAGUUACAGCCCAGUGCUCAUUGACCACUCUGAAAAUCUCAGGGCCCUUAAGAAUUAUGCAAAAUCUAUUCUUUCUGUGCUCUAGAAAUGGAACAUCACUGUCUGGGUGACAGCACAUCUGUUAAUGGCAUGGUUUACUGAAUAUUUUAAUCCCAAUAUUGAGACCUACUGCUCAGAAAAAAAAGUGAUUCCUUUAAAAAGAUUGUUGCUUGGCCAGGCAUAGUGGCUCACACCUGUAAUCCCUGCACUUUGGGAGGCCGAGGAUCACCUGAGGUCAGGAGUUCAAGACCAGCCUGGCCAAAAUGAUGAAACCCCAUCUCUAAUAAAAAUAGAAAAAAAUUAGCUGGGCAUGGUGGUAAUACCUGUAAUUUCAGCUACUCAGGAGGCUGAGGCAGAAGAAUGGCUUGAACUCUGGAGGCGGAGGUUGCAGUGAGCCGAGACCACACCACUGCACUCCAGCCUGGGGAACAAGAGCGAAACUACGUCAAAAAAAAAUAAUAAUAAUAAAAUAAAAUAAAAGGAAAGAAAAGGAAAAAGGAAAAAAAGAUUGCUGCUUAUUGACAAUUCACCUAGCUACCCAGAAGCUUAGAUGGAGAGGUACUUGGAAAUUAAUGUUAUUUUCAUGGCUGCUAAUACAAUAUUUACCUUCAGCCUGUGGAUCAAGGAGUGGUUUUGACUUUCAAGUGUUUUUAUUAAUUAAUAAUGCAUUUUGUAAAGGUAUAGCUAUCAUAGAUAGUGAUUUCUUUGAUGAAUCUGGAUAAGCUGAAUUGAAAACCUUUUGGAAAGGAUUCACCAUUAAUCCUUUCAUGAUAUUUGAACCUCCUCCCGUGAAUCACAAAUGUCCUUAAUAGCAAUCCUUAAAUGCAAUUAAGGACAUUUGUGAUUGAUGGGAGGAGGUUGAAAUAUUAACAUUAACAGGAGUUUGGAAGAAGUUGAUUCCAGCCCUCAUGGAUGACUUUGAGGGCUCAGGAUGUCAGUGGAGGAAGUCCCUGCAGAUGUGGUAGAAAUCGCAAGACAACUAGAAUUAGAAUUAGGGCCUUAAGGUGAGAUGAAAUUGCUGUAAACUCAUGAUGAAACUUGAACAAAUAGGGAGUUGCUUCUUAUGGACGAGCAAAGAAAAUAUUUUCUUGAGAUGGAAUCUAAUCCAGGUGGAGAUGCUACAAACAUUGUUGAAAUGACAACUAAGGAUUUAGAAUAUUCCAUAAACCUAGUUGAUAAAGCAGCAGCAGGGUUUGAGAGGGUUUACUCCAAUUUUGAAAAAGGUUCUACUGUUAAUAAAAUGCUGUCAAACAGCAUCACAUGCUACAGGGAAAUCUUUUGUGAAAGGAACAAACUUCAUUGUUUGAAGAAAUUGACACAGGCACCCAACCUUCGGCAGCCCCCACACUGAUUAGCCAGCAGUCAUCAAUAUAGAGGCAAGACCCUCACCAGCAAAAAGAUUAUGACUUGGUGAGGCUCAGAUAUUCAUUCGCAUUUUUUAGCACUGAUGUAUUUUAACUUAAGGUAUGUACACAGUUUUUCAGACAUGCUAUUAAUUGCUAAUUAAUAAUUAAAUACUCAUUAGACUACAAUAUAGUUUAAGCAUAACUUUAAUAAGCACUGGGAAACAAAAUGUUUAUGUAACUAACUUGAUUGUAACAGUUGCCUUAUUGCAGUGGUCUGGAACCAAACACAAUAUUUCUGAGGUGUGCUUGUAGGUUUUUGGUUGUAACAUUUGCCUUAUUGAAGUUGUCUGGAACCAAACCCACACUAACUCUCAGGUGUGCUUGUAGGUUUUUGGUUGUUCUUUGUUUUGAGAUGGGGUUUCGCUCUGUCGCCCAGGCCAGAGUGCAGUGGCAUGAUGAUAGCUCACUGCAGCCUCAAACUGCUGGGUCAAGUUAUUUUUCUACCACAGCCUCCUGAGUGGCUGGGACUACAGGCAUGCAGCACUAUGCCUGGCUAUUUUUUUUAAAUACUUUUGUUGUAGAGACGGGAUCUCACUAUGUUGCCCAGCUGGUCUUGAACUCUGGGGCUGAAGCAAUCCAGCCACUUCAGACUCCAAAAGUGCAGCCAUUACAGGCUUGAGCCACUGCACCCAGCUUGUCUGAAGUUCUUAAAACAAAAACGGCCAGGUGUGGUGUCUGACGCCUGUAAUCCCAGCACUUUGGGAGGCCAAGGCAGGUGGAUCACAAGGUCAGGAGUUCGAGACCAGCCUGGCCAAGAUGGUGAACCCAGUCUCUACUAAAAAUACAAAAAUUAGCCGGGCGCAGUGGCGGUCACCUGUAGUCCCUGCUACUUGGGAGACUGAGGCAGGAGAAUCUCUUGAACCCGGGAGGUGGAGGUUGCAGUAAGCCGAGAUCGUGCCACUGCACUCCUGCCUUGCGACAGAGCAAGAUUCCAUCAAAAAAAAAAAAGAACAAACGUAAUUUAAAAGAUUAAAAGUUAAGAUAGAUUUUUACAAAUGUAUAUAUCUACCAUUACAGUAUCAUACAGAAUGGUUUUACUGCCGUGAAGUUUCUCUGUUGUCUGUGUAUCCAUCUCUUCCUUCCCCUUGGUCCAUGGCAACCACUGAUCUUUCUACUGUUCCCAUAGUUUCACCGUUUCCAGAACGUCAUAUAAUUGGAAUCGAACAGUACGUAGACUUUUCGGAUUGGCUUCUUCUUUUAGCAAUAUGCAUUUAAGUUUCCUCCAUGUAUUUUUUUGUGGCUUGAUAGAUCAUCUCCUGUUAGCGGUGAAUAAUAUCAUAUUGCCAUUAUACUUUUGUCAUGACUCAGAAAGUACAAUGUGAAGAGUAAAUAAGUAUGAAUGUGCACUGUAAGCUUUGAGUGAUAAUGAAGGGUCAAGGUAGGUUCCUGGUUGUCACAGGUGUGCUCCUGUGAGGCAGGAAGCUGUAGUGGGGAGGCUGUGUGUGGGGAAAGGGACAUAUGAGAAGUCUUUACUCUCUGCUCCGUUUAGCUGUGAACCUGCACUUCUCUAAAAAAUAAAAUUAGUUAAAAUUAAGAGCAAAAAAUUAGAAAAAUUAAAACAUUACAAUGUGUCAUAUAGUUUUCACAUCACAAGACAGAAAAAGACAUAAUAAAAGAAACUGUAGAAAACAACAAGGAUAGGAAUAAAAAACAUCAGUGAUAGAAGGCAGAAGACAGAAACGUGGAGCCAAACACAUUAUUUUAUUUUAAUCAUUAGUUAUACUCAUUUAUACUAAUUUAUAUUGAUUUAACAUAUUAAUUUUGACAAAAUGGCAUUAAAGGAGGUUUGAGAAAUUUGCAUGUCACAUUCUGGAUGAGAGGACUCAAUAAUAUUAACUCUUUAGUUUGCUGUAAAUCAUUUAAAAAUAUGCUCAAAUUCCAAUAAAAAUUCCAAGAAAAAUAUUUUCGAACAAGAAAAUGUGAUUUUUAAAUCCACAUAUUGAACACACACGAGAGCCAAUUUUAUAAAAUUUACUAUAACAUAUUUAAGAUUGUUAUUACUAUUCAAAAUUAAACAAAUUUGAAAUGGCACAAAAAUAAACACAUUAAUGAAAGAGAAACAAAAACACAGAAAUUGAGUGUAAUUUUAUCUAGUAACGGUAAUAUUUUAAACCCACAAAACAGAGCCAUUUUUCCAUUUAUGAUGUUAAAAUAUUGGGUAAUGAUUUGAGAAUAUAAAAUGAUAGAAUUGAGUCCUGGUCCCACACCUUACAUAAAAGUUAAUUCCAGUAUUAAAUGUAAAAAAAAAAAAAAAAGAGAGAGAGAGAGAGAAAAGAAAAUUAGAUGUACCUGUGUUUUAUGACCUUGAGAAUGAAUGAAUGUCUUCUAAAAUCAAAAUUGCAAACAGAAACUAUAUAAAAAGGAAUAAACCUAACGUACCUAAAACGUACAUUCUUACACAUUUCCACACCAAGUAAAUAGGACAAAACAAACUGGGGACAUUUUUACAACAAUUGUGUUAGAUGAAACUUAAAAUCCUUAUGACAUAUACAAUGUAUAAAACAGUAUUAUUACCACUAUUAUUAAUACCAUUAUGAUUACCUGGUCUUCCCACGCACCAGUCCUCUUCCGGUGCCCUAUGGUGAAACAGAGCCCUCCGUCUCUGGCCACAGUGAGGGAUCCAUCAGGAACCCUGCCUAAGCCCUCAGAGGGUGUGAGCCAAACCAGGACAUCACAUUCCCUCCUGCAAUGACGCAGAUAUCCACUCACGACAGAGAUUUGGUACCUCUCUGGAAAAGCUGUGUAACAAUUAUUGCAGAAACUUGUUUCUUAUGUUCCCAGACACAUGGAGAAAGCUGGUCUGGAAGACUGAUGUCCACAUGCUAAGAGAAGCAGUCACUCAUAACACACACUGCACACACCACACCAUGUGCACACGCACACACACCCCACACACAGACACCACACAAACAGCACACACACCAUGUGCACACGUGAAGGGGUGGUCUGCCCCUCCACACUUGUGGGCGUUUCUCAUCGGGUGGAACAAGAGACUUGAGAAAAGAGACACAGAGACGAAGUAUAGAGAAAGAAAAGUGGGCCCAGGGGAAUGGCGCUCAGCAUACGGAGGACCCACGCCGGCACCAGUCUCUCAGUUCCCUUAGUAUUUAUUGAUCAUUAUCAGGCGUUUCUCAGAGAGGGGGAUGUGGCAGGACAAUAGGGUAAUAGUGGAGAGAAGGUCAGCAGGAAAACAUAUGAACAAAUGUCUCUGCAUCAUAAACAAGGUAAAGAAAAAAGUGCUGUGCUUUUGAUGUUCAUAUACAUAAACAUCUCAAUGCCUUAAAGAGCAGUAUUGUUGCCAGCAUGUCCCACCUCCAGCCCUAAGGCAGUUUUCCCCUAUCUCAGUAGAUGGAAUAUACAACUGGGCUUUACACUGAGAUAUUCCAUUGCCCAGGGACAAGCAGGAGACAGAUGCCUUCCUCUUAUCUCAACUGCAAAGAGGCCUUCCUUUUUACUAAUCCUCCCAGCACAGAACCUUUAUAGGUGUCAGGCUGGGGGAUGGUCAGGUCUUUCCCUUCCCAUGAGACCAUAUUUCAGACUAUCACAUGGGGAGAAACCUUGGACAAUACCUGGCUUUCCUAGGCAGAGUUCCCUGUGGCCUUCCACAGUGUUUUGUGUCCCUGGGUACUUGAGAGUAGGGAGUGGUGAUGACUCUUAACAAGAAUGCUGCCUUCAAGCAUUUGUUUAACAAAGCACAUCCUGCACAGCCCUUAAUCCAUUUAACCUUGACUUGACACAGCACAUGUCUCAGGGAGCACAGGGUUGGGGGUAUGGUUACAGAUUAACAGCCUCUCAAGGCAGAAGAAUUUUUCUUAGUACAGAACAAAAUGGAGUCUCUUAUGUCUACUUCUUUCUACAUAGACACAGUAACAGUCUGAUCUUUUUCUUUUCCCCCCACACACGCAUACACACCCCACAGACACCGCACACACUGCACACACACCCCAGACACCACACCCACUGCACACACCACACCAUAUGCACACACACAACCCAGACACCAUACACACUGAACAUACCUCAUGAGCACAUGCACACACAUCACACAGACACCACACACUGCACACACACCAUGUGCACAAACACCACACACACUGCACACACACCAUGUGCACGUAUACACACCCCACACUGCACACACACACGUGCACACGCACACACCCCAGAGACUACACACCGCACACACCACUCCAUGUGCACACACACCCCACACACAGACACCACACACUGCACACAGCCCACCACACUGCACAUGCCACACCGUGUACAUGCACACACCACACACACACCACACACAGUGUACACAAGCACACAUGCCCCACACAUACACCACACAGACACCACACACACUGCACACAGCACACCAUGCAUACACGCACACACACCCCCACACACCACACAUACUGCACACAUACCACGUACACACACACCCAACACAGACAUCACACACUGCACACACACCAUGUAUACAUGCACACAAACCCCCAAACAUCACACACACCACACACCAUGUGAACGUGCACACACCCCACCACAGACACAUACACUGCACACAGACCAGGUGCACACACGCACACCCCUGAUACACCACACACACACCAUGUGCACACACACACCCCAGACACCACACACACUGCACACACACCAUGUGCACAUGCACACACAUCCCCACACCACAAUGCACAAUGUGCACACACGCAUACCCCCCACACACCGCACACACUACACCACACACAAGAAUCUACUACACACACAACAUACACAUACAGCACCACACACACCCCAUACUCCCCACACACAUCAAACACACGCCCCACACAUACUCCCCACACACUGCACACGUAUAUAUAGCACCACAGACACGGAGCACACACAUCACAUACACACCACACAUACUGUGCACACACACACCACACAUUCUACACUCAUCACACAUCAAACACUACACACAGUACACACACAUCCAGCACCAUACACACACACAUCACAUAAACCACAAACUGCACACACAUAUAUCAUACGCACACCACACCACACGUAGUACACACCCACCACACACACAUACACCACAAACACAGCACAUAUACACACCAUGCACCACCCACAAACUACACACAGUAUACACACAUAACACCCACAAUACACACUACACACACAUAUACAUACCCCAUGAACCUACUACACACAAAGACCACAUACACACACCAUACAUACACAUCACACACAUACACCUGCGCACACCUCACAGCAUACAUACAAUCCUCACUUUUAGAAAUUAAUUUGGCUUUUAAGGAGCCUGGAUAGUAAAGUAUUUUAUUGGCAUUUGAAUGAACCAAAAAAAUGCAUAUAAAUACACAAGCGUAACUAUAAGGGCAAAAGUAGUACUUUCGAAAUCACAACAUUAGAUUAAACCAUGUAAAUUUUUUAUUGUUUUUAAAAAAUCGAGUCUUUCUCAUCUUACGAUAAAUUAUUUACCAGAGUAAAUAAGCUUCUUACUGAGGUCAAAAGACUUUCUGGAAAAACUUCUCCUUGAUGAAAUUGCACUUAAAACAUCACUUCCAUCAUGAAGUAUUUAAGAUGGUCUUGGUCCUUUUCCUGUUAUGUGGAAUCGUCAAUUCAAAUUUUAAAAGUGACGUUGAGAUGUUUUUCAUCUAUUAUUUUAAAAACGUUGAAGGCGUUUUUAAUUCUGCCUUCAACAGAGAUCGACAUACCUCUGAUUAUGAUGUAAAACUGAACACGUUACUCUGACAGGCUUUCUUUUCUGCAGCGCAGCUACCAUCAUUAUUAAUAAGGAUUGAAGGCUUUUACUCCAUGCACAAUCUGUAUUCCCUGCUUUAUAAAGAAUAGAAAUCUAAUUCUCACUAUGAAGGCAGAUAAAAGUAAUCCCUUCAACCUAUAGAUGAAUCAUUUACCAAAGCACUCAGACUUUAAAUAGCAUUUAUCAAAUGUGUCUAUAUUUCUAUGCAGAUUCAUAGAAAGAACAUGUAGUUUAAAUCAUUGCACAUUUUAUGCUUUUAAUGAGUUGUGAUGGUCAUUAGUAUUUUUAUCACAUUUCCCCAAAGGUAGGUUAAUUACUGUUUUUAUUUUCAGCUAGAAAUAUAAAAUGAAUUUUCUAUUUUUGAAGACUUUGAAACAUAAUCCUUGGAAUAUAAUAUCUGUGUAUAAUAUCUGUGGAAAGCAUGAAAGCAACUUUCAAACAGUAUGCAUUUUUUCCAGAAUGAAAAUUUACUCUACAAUAACAUUCAUCCUUUUUUCCUGAUGGGCACAUAAAAGUCAACAUUUCUGACAUUGCUGGAUGUUAUUUACAUUAAACUUGCCUCAGAUUCAGGUGUUGCAGAAACUGGACAAGAGGCCACAAGGUACACAAUACACACACACACACACACACACACACACAACUUGUAUUAUUAUACUUACCUAAGUGUCUAAAGAGGUGGAUAAAUAUAUUAGAUUGCUCCAGAACAAGGAUUUUUAUGGGGCCUAUUGGAAAGUAUGACUGCAGUUUGAGUGAGAUGCCUGUAAGAGAUUCAAUUUUGCCACUAAUGGAGUACCCAAUUUUAAAAAUACUGACAGAAGGGUCAUGAGAUAGAAAUUUUCACCUAGAUCUAUUGGAAAUAUGCUACUAGAUUCUGUAGUAAAAAGACUGGUGUGGUAAUUGUAAAACACAUCUGAUAUCUAAACCUUUGUUUGUUUUUUACCUGAAAUCCUUAUAGGGGUGAUUGUGUAUGUCAAUUUGAAUCUUCCCAUCAACAAGAUAAAUAAAUACAUAAAUAAACAGCCACCUGCCUGUAUAAAUUAGUUCACCUUUUCUAUAUUUUGAGGGCAGUGCUUCUCCUCCUUUGACAGCCACAAGUUUCACCCGGGGAUCCCUUAAAAUGCAAAACCAUAGCCCACACUUUGACAAGCUUGGAUAAGAGGCCAGAGCUUUGAAAUGAGUGUGUAGCUGACUGUGCUAAGAUUCUGCUGCUCAUUUGGGCACUGGCUCACCAUAUAAACAAAGCCUAGGACCUCUAGUCCUUGCUGGAAAAGAAAUACACAUACAUAGGAUGUGACUGUGCAUAUGGAAUAUCUGUUGUGUUCUGGACAUUGUGCUAGACAACAGAGAUAAGAAGUCAAAUAAUCCUUUGUCUCUAUCUGAAAAGAGCUUCCUACACACUGGCUUCUGAGGUCUUUGAAACUAGAUUCACUUUCAGAUUUGACUAUUAUAUUUAUGAUUUGAUAUUUUCAUUGAACCCCAUGAUAUGAUAAAGUUUUCUAGAACCUGCUAGAAUAAUUGACUUUCCUCUCAGCAUUAUGAAGCCACUGGGGCACAUAAGUAGUUCAUUUAUGUUUCUAUUUAACCAGACAGGAACAACUUGAGCUACUUUUCUAGCCACUUUUGUUUAGAGCUGUUUUUGUUUGUUAUUUUUGUUUGUUUUUGAGACAGGUCUCACUCUGUCACCUAGGCUGAAAUGCAGUGGCGUGAUCGGAGCUCACUGCAGCCUCUACCUUCUGGGCUCAAGCAAUCCUCUCACCUCAGCCUCCUGAAAAGCUGGGACCACAGGCUCAUACCACCAUACCCUCCUAAUUAAAAAUUUUUUUUUGUAGAGACGGUUUUUCCAUGUUUCUUAGACUUGUCUCCAACUCUUGAACUUAAGCAAUCUGCCUGCCUCAGCCUCCUAAAGUGUAGAGCUGUGUUUUCAGUCUUUUUUUGAGCUGUUUUACAAUCCAGCUUUGAAUUGAUAACUUUGGAUUCAUUCUGACAUUUACAGAUUUUACAUCCUACUUCACAAGAUGCUCAUAGCCUUAAUCCAUUACAGCCGCUGCCUCACAUCCAUCUCUGCUCAUAGCCUUGAUCUAUUACAGUAGCCACCUCGUCCAUCUCUGCUCAUAGCCUAAACUUAUAGAAGCCAGAGGGAAGAAAUGGAAGCCAACGUGAGAUCAGAACACACAUUUUAUAAGAGUAUAAGAAAUUUAAAUAUAGCAAAGUAUAUCAUGAAGUUUGUAAAACAUGUGCAUGGCUAAAAUUUAUUCUUAAUCAAUAUAUUCUAUAAAUUGGGAGAAAAUAUUAAACACAUGAAAAAUAAGGAACUUGGGCUGGGUGCGGUGGCUCAUGCCUGUAAUCCCAGCACUUUGGGAGGCUGAGGCUUGCGGAUCACAUGGUCAGGAGAUCAAGACCAUCCUGGAUAACAUGGUGAAACCCCGUCUCUACUAAAAAUACAAAAAAUUAGCCAGGGGUGGUGGUGGGUGCCUGUAGUCCCAGCUACUCGGAAGACUGAGGCGGAAGAAUGGCAUGAACCCGGGAGGCAGACCUUGCAGGGAACCGAGAUCACGCCAAUGCACUCCAGCCUGGGGACAGAGCGAGACUCCGUCGCAAAAAAAUAAGAAAGAAAAGUAAGGAACUUUCAUCAUUAAUAUAUAACUAAUAUGACAAGAAUGUGGUUUAUGUUUUUAUCUUUGCAAGAUUUAGGAACAUUUAGUGGAAGGAGGAAGAAUUUAUAAUCAUGGGGAGCGUGUAUGAUACUGGAGGGAGGCUUCUGACAAGGGGGAAAUGGCAUCACGAGGUAUGCUGUGGUCAUAGCUAUGUGGGAGCGCAGCUAGCUGUGAUCUCCCCCAUCAAACCCACUGGGCAGUGUUCAGUUACCAACAUUGAGAUAGAGCUCACCCACCCAGGACAGAAGAGAAAAUAUACACUGCAGUCAGAAGCCACUGUGUAGGAAGCUCCUUUCAGAAAGAGGCAAGGGAUAUUUGAUUUUUUAUCUCUAGUGUCUAGUACAAUGUCGAGAACACAACAGACAUUCCAUAUGCACAGUCAUAUCCUAUGUAUUUGUAUUUCUUUUCCAGCAGGGACUGGAGGUCCUAAGCUUCAUUAAUAUGGUGAGCCAGUGCCCACAUGAAGAGUAGGAUCUUAGCAAUGUCACCUGGACAUCCAUUUAAAUGCUCUUGUCUUAGCUAGUCAAAGUGUGGUCCAUGAGUUUGCAUUUUAAUAAGAAGAUUCCAGGGUGAAUCUUGUGCAUGUUACAGGGAAACACUGUCCUACAUCGUAUCUGACAGGCUCUCAUAGUCGCCAUCAUCACGGGAAUCUUGCACACGUUACAGGGAAGCACUGUCCUACAUCAUAUGUGACAGGCUGUCAUAGUCACCGUCAUCACGGGAAUCCUCUGCAUGUUACGGGGAAGCACUGUCCUACAUCAUAUGUGACAGGCUGUCAUAGUCAUCAUCAUCACGGGAAUCCUGUGCAUAUUAAAGGGAAGCACUGUCCUACAUAGUAUCUGACAGGCUGUCAUAGUCACCAUCAUCACGGGAAUCUUGUGCAUGUUACAGGGAAGCACUGUCCUACAUCAUAUGUGACAGGCUCUCAUAGUCACCAUCACCAGGGGAAGCUGCAUUUAGAGCAUUUAACUAUAUGGGCUCUGAAAUCAGAUAAUUUAAGUUUAAACUUAUUUCUACUUCUUACUAAGCAGAGAACUCUGGGGUGAAAACUUUACAAGACCCAGUUUUAUCAUGUCCAAAUUAGAGGCAUGGUGAAAUUAUAGCAUUUUGCAUAGAAUACUGUUUUAAGUAUAAAAUGAAAUAGUAGAUAGUAAGCUUCUGCCAUACACUGACUGCACAAUAAAUAUUAGUUAAUAGUAACUCAUUUAAUCCUAAGGUCUAUAAAUUUGUGCACAAUAAUUUUUUGUGACUACCCAAAUUUUCAUAAUUAGUCUAGAUUUAAAAUCAAGGAAUGUUCUUAUGUGUAGUUGGCAAUCAAUAUGACAUGCCAAAAUUAUAUGUAAGUAUUUUAUUGAUGGUGGGGAUAUAAUAAAUUUACCAUCAAAAGAGAGACGAUACUCUAUAUUUGCAGACUCCAGAAAGCUGUCUCUCACAUAAGAAUUUGCAAUUUCUGGGGGAAAAGAAAAAGUUGAUUGUGCAAAUAAACAUUACCAUGGAGGCUUCUCUAUGGCAACAUCAAAAAUGAAAGCUGAUUCUCAUCUUCCUAACAAUCUGCAAAGACGAGAGAAACACAACCUACUGAGCAUCAAGUUAAAGAAGGAGAGAAUUUGAGUGGCACAGGAGGAAAUCAUGUCACCGCUAGGGAAAUCAAUAUGACCAGUGCUCCUCUGCCCUCCUCCGAGGCUAAGGAUGGGUUAAAUAUCAGUGGCUGACCUCAGGUAAUGGAAUGAGCAAAAAAGCUAUAAAAAUGCAUGCAUUACAUAAUUAAGAGGGUGGGAAGGGAUUUUUUUAAAAAGGCAAUUCCUACUUGGGUUCCUUCCUGUUCACCCCAUUGGCCUAGAAUUCUGGGAAUGGCUGCAGACAAAACAAACACUGAGCAGAUGAAAUUCCCAGUAAUUUACUCGUCAAACAUACUCAGCCAGGGGGAUGACACUGCAUUUAUGCAGGUCUACCCAGGGUUGCACUCUGGAACAGAGGGUGUGGGAGGCAGGCUUGAUAGAAAUCAGAGGGUGGAGUAACCCCUGGUCCCUUCAGGGAUGUGCUUGACUAAUUCAGAGUUUUGCAGUCUGGUGGGGGCAUGAAAGCCAUUAGGCUGAGAACAUGGUGGGGUGCUGCAUGAAAUUUUAGGUGUCACAAUACAAUUGACCCCUGAUGCUUUAACAUCAGACAUUUAUUUUCAUGAUGACUAAUAUUUUGAGAGGCUGAGAGAAAGCUGCUGAGACAUUGUAAUAAGUGCUUAGGGAUAUGAGAAAUUAGGAAGGCCACAGUUAUGAGUAAUGUAAUGUGGAAACCGAUGCAAAUCUACUGCCCCCAUUUAUUUAGCAGGAGGCAGGAAAAGUGAUCUGGGGUCUCUGGCAGCACAAGCCUGUUCAUAAAUAUUUGGGUGACAUCAUGCAUUCCCCAUGCAUUGGUUUAGAGAUCUGGGGUCUCUGGCAGCACAAGCAUGUUCAUAAAUAUUUGGGUGACGUCAUGCAUCCCCCAUGCAUUGGUUUUCAUGUCUCCAGUGAGUUGUUGGGCAAGUCUGAUAUUACUGAUCCACACGCAGCAGGCAGCUCCCUGUACGGAGCUACCUCCACCCCUUGGACAGUCCAGGACUGAAUGGUUGUCAAAAAUGUGAACUCCUUGAUGUCCAGUAAAGGCAACUGAGGGAACUGUGUAGCAUUGGUGUAAAAAGUGCAAUUUCCUAAGAAGCAUGAACUUAAGAGUAAUCAAAGCCUGUGGCAACAGUGGAACCCAGCAGGGCGUCCACUCGCUGCUUCGUAACUUAAAUAGGGAUUCUUUGAGGAGCUCAGUCUAUCUCUCAACUAAAGCAGCUGCCUGCAGCCUAUAGGGGCAGUAGAAGCCCUACUGGACACUUUCACAAGCCUAGCACUGUGUUUUCUGAUGAAAUGUUGCCUUGGUCACCAUCAGUAGUGUCUGGAACUCUCUGCAGGGGAUAAGGAGUGUCCCUGUGAGAUCCGUACUGUGUCCUUGGUUUAAAAAAAAAAGGCAUCUGUUACCUUGACUGUAUUCUGAGUAUCCAUGAGGCAAGAAGUUUCUUUAAUUCAAUGGGGAGGGAAGGUGGAGAAUUCUUGGCAAUUGCCAAAAAUUUGUAAAAAUGUACAAAUGGGGCUAAUUGUUGGCCCAGCAUCAGUGCUGAGAUGACCACCUCAAGUUUGGCCAGUCGUGCUGAGGCUUUGGUGUCAUCCUUUAUCAGGGACAUCCUAGCUAAGCGAGGGAAGGCAGCAGCAUCCCACUGAGCUCCAUCACGUCAGAUGAUGGCAUCCAUUCAGGAGGUGGACGAACUUCACUGCUGGUCACUCAGUCGAUCCCAAGGGGCCUCGGAGACGGGUGACUUCCAGCAACACAGACUAAGGAUGAAGGAGGCCAGUGUUUCCUGCAGAUGAGAAUGGCAGGGGGUCCAGGUUUGACUCCAUCCUGAUGCAAGGAGGUCUCUGCAGCUGUGCCAAGGCUGUGGGGUGCUGCUUCCCAAGGCCUGAUGGCCAGAUGGACAUGAAGCCUCGUGGACAUGGAUGCAGAGCCCUCUGUUUCCAGAGGGUCCAGCAUGUGGUCAGCAAUCGCUGCCCUGAUGCUGUACAGAACAGGGUCAAAAGGGGCAGGUUUGUUUUUUACAUCAGAAGCCCAUGGACUACUUAUGGCCACCAUAUGCAACCCAGAUACUUCAGGAGGCAUAGGAAGAGGUUGCUAAAUCAUCCACAGUGUGUUCUCUGAGGGAAUUCAUAGGAACACCUGCUAAUUUAAAUUCGGACAGAUUCCAGACUUGGAGGAGGCUUCAUUCAAGGUGGGUCAGUUUGCCAAUGACAGCAUCCGUGAGAUUAAGUAAGAUUUGUAAAUAAGAAAUAUAUUGUCACCUGAACCCCAAGUAAAGAAUUAAAGGGCUGGGCACAGUGGCUCACACCUGUAAUCCCAGAACUUUGGGAGGCAGAGGCAAGAGGAUCGCUUCACCCCAGGAGUUUCAGACCAGCCUGGGUAACAUAGCGAGACCUUUUCUCUACAAAAAUAUAAACAAAAUUAGCUGAGUGUCAUGGCACACACCUGAAGUCCUAGCUACUUGGAAGGCUGAGAUGGGAGAACUGCUUGAGCUCAGGAGGUCGAGGCUGCAGUGAGUUGAAACCAUGCCACUUCAUGCCAGCCUGGGUGACAGAGCAAGACUGUACCUCCAAAAAACAAAACACAAAUUAAAGAAUAUUAGGCUUGUAUUAACAUUGUGGAUGCUGAGAGGAUGAAUAAUUAUUUUUUGAAAGUCUCAGGAAUAGGGCAGCCCCAUAUUUACCAAGGAAAUUUCAGGAAUUGAAGCAAAGUGGCAGGGCCUUGCACUACUGUGUUGGGAAAGGUCCAUUCCCUUUGUGUAAGCCUCCUUGUGUCUGUGUGUCCUUAGUGUGUAAAAUGAAUUUUCUCUGAGAAUGAUGUCAUCAGUACAAUGUCACACCUGUGCUCCUGUAGAAAGGUGGUUGCAGUGAGAUCUUGUCUGUGAAGAUUGCAUGUAAUGACAAGGCUGCCGAGGCACUCCGUGGGUCGCCUGGUCCCUUCAGAGACGAAGGAAGGCUAUGACUGAGACUCUGUUAAAAUAGGCACCAGAAGAACAUGGUAGCCAAAUCUGUAACAACAAAAUAUUUAUCAGUUGCAUGAAUAUAUAUAGGUUUAUUAUAAGGGAUUGGCUCAUGUGGUUAUGGAGGCUAAGAAGUCCCAGGACCUGCAGUCAGCAAGCUGGAGAACCAGGACUGCCAAUGUUGGAGUUCCAGUCCAAGCCUAAAGUCCUGAGAACCAGGAAAGCUGAUGGCAUAAGUUACAGUCCACGUCUGACUUCAAAGUCGAGAGAAGAUCUACGUCUCAGCUCUGAAAUCAUCAAAGAGAGUGAAUUCUCUCUUCCUCUACCCUUGUGUUUUAUUUGGGUUUUAAUGGAUUGGAUGAGGCCCACUCACACUGGGGAGGGCAAUUACUUUACUAAGUCUACAUAUUCAAAUGUUCGUCUCAUCAAGGAACACCCUCACAGACACAUCCAGGGAGUUUAACCAAAUAUCUAGGCAACCCAACUUGGCAAAUAAAAUUAACCAUCAUAAGGUGAAAGAGGUAUACGAUCUGAAGAGAAACCAGGGAUGCAGGAUGGUUAAACAUCUGCAAGUCAAUAAAUGUGAUACACCAUAUAAACAGAAUUAAAAACAAAAAUCACAUGAUCCUCUCAAUACAUGCAGAAAAAGGAUUUGACAAAAUCCAUCAUCCCUUUAUGCCUAAAACCCUCAGCAAAAUUGACAUAGAAAAAGCAUUUGACAAAAUCCAGAAUCCCUUUAUGAUUAAAACCCUUAGCAAAAUCAACAUCGAAGGGACAUAUCUUAAGGUAAUAAAAGCCAUAUAUGACAAACACACAGCCAACAUUAUAUGGAAUGGGGAAAAGUUGAAAGCAUUCCCCCUGAAACUGGAACAAGACAAUGAUGUCAACUUUCACCAGUUCUAUUCAACAUAGUACUAGAAGUCCUCGCCAGAGCAAUCAGAUAAGAGAAAUAAAGUGCAUCCAAAUCGGUAAAGAGAAAGUCGAACUGUCACUCUUUGCUGAUGACAUGAUCGUAUACCUAGAAAACCCUAAAGACUCAUCCCAAAAGCUACUAGAACUGGUAAAUGAAUUCAGCAAAGUUUCAGGAUAAAAAAUUAAUGUACACAAGUCAGUGGCUCUGCUAUACAGUAAUAGUGAACAAGCUGAGAAUUAAAUAAAAAACUCACCCCCUUUUACAAUAGUUGCAAUAAAAACCUUAGGAAUAUUAUAAUUCCUAUAAUUAUAAUAGUAUAUUCCUAUAAUUGUCAAUUGCAUGCAAUCUUUGCAGACAAAAUCUUAAUUAUAUCCGGAAUACUUAACCAAAGAGACAAAAGACCUCUACAAGGAAAACUACAAAACACUGCUGAUAGAAAUCAUAGAUACAAAGAAAUGGAAACAUAUCCCAUGCUCACGGAUGGGUAAAAUCAAUAUUGUGAAAAUACCAUACUGCCAAAAGCAAUCUACAAACUCAAUGUAAUCCCCAUUAAAGUACCAACAUCAGUCUUCACAGAACUACAAAAAUUCACACGGAACUAAAAAAGACAUAGAAGGGAAAUACCUUAAGGUAGUAAAAGCCUAGAACCAAAAAAGAGUCUGUAUAGCCAAAGCAAGACUAAGCAAAAAUAACAAAUCUAGAAGCCGACUUCAAACUAUACUAGAAGGCCAUAGUCACCAAAACAGCAUGGUACUGGCAUAAAAAUAGCCAUAAAGAUCAAUGGAACAUCAUAGAGAACACAGAAAUAAAGCCAAAUACUUACAGUCAUCUAAUCUUCAACAAAACAAACAAAAACAUAAAGCAGAGAAAGAAUACCCUAUUCAACAAAUGGUGCUGAGAUAAAUGGCAAGCCACACAUAGAAGAAUGAAAGUGAAUGCUCAUUUCUCACCCUAUUCGAAAAUCAACUCAAGAUGGAUCAAGGACUUAAAUCUAAUACCUGAAACCAUAAAAAUUCUAGAAGACGACAUUGGAAAAAACCUUCUAGACACUGGCUUAGGCAAAGACUUCAUGACCAAUAACCCAAAAAGCAAAUGCAACUAAAACAAAGAUAAAUAGAUGAGACUUAAUUAAACUAAAAGGCUUCUGCGCAGUAAGAGAAAUAGCAGAGUAAACAGAUAACCUACAGAGUGGGAGAAAAUCUUCGCAAUCUGUACUUCUGAUUAAAGGACUAACACCCAGAAUCUGCAAGGAACUCAAACAAACCAGGAAGAAAAAUAUCCCAUCAAAAAGUGGGCUAUGGACAUGAAAAAACAAUUCUCAAAAGAAGAUAAGCAACUGGCCAACAAACAUGAAAAAAUGCUCAGCAUAACUAAUUAUCAGGGAAAUGCAAAUCAAAACCACAAUACAAUAUGAUACCCCUUCACUCCUGUAAGAAUGGUCAUAAUCAAAAAAUCAAAAACUAAUAGAUGUUGGCAUGGGUGUGUUAAGAAGGGAACACUUUUACACUUUUUGGAGGGAAUGUGAACUAGUACAACAGCUAUGGAAAACAGUGAGGAGAUUUCCAAAGAAGUAAAAGCAGAUCUAUCAUUUGAUCCAGUAAUUCCACUCCUGGGUAUCUACUCAGAGGAAAAUAAGUCAUUAUAUGAAAAAGAUACUUUCACACGCAUGUUUAUAGCAGCACAAUAUGCAGUUAGAAGAAUUUGAAACCAGCCUAAAUGCCCAUCAAUCAGUAAGUGGAUAAAGAAAAUGUGGUAUAAAUAUUUACCACAUGGAAUACUACUCAGCCAUAAGAUGGAAUGAAAUAAUGCAUUCACAGCAACCUGGAUGAAACUGGACACCAUUAUUCUAAGUGAAGCAACUUAGGAAUGGAAAACCAAACAUUGUAUGUUCUCAUUCAUAAGUGAGAGCUAAGCUAUGAGGAUGCAAAGGCAUAAGAAUGAUACAAUAGUCUUUGGGGACUCAGGGAAAGCUUGGGAGUGGUGGGGUGGGUGCAGUGAGGGAUAAAACACUACACAACGGGUACAGUGUACACUGCUUGGGUGAUGGGUACACCACAAAUCUCAGAAAUCGCCACUAAACAACUUGGUCCUGUAACCAAAAACCACCUGUUUCCCCAAAACCUAUUGAAAUAAAAAGAAAACCAUCAUAUUCCCCAAAAACCUAUUGAAAUAAAAAAAAAAUUAACCACAAUAUUAGGCAUUGGGUACGAGGGCCUGAAUGGAUGGGAGCACUGCAGUCACAUUACAGUAAUCCACUGUGAAACACCAUUUAUUAUUUGCAGGUUUAAGAACAGGCCAGAUUCUACUGCUAAACGUUGAAGCAAUGAGGAUUAUCACCCCUUCACUAAUUAAUUAGGUCUUAUAUAAUAAGUUUUAUUUAUUUGAAGUCAUGUUGUAAUUUAUGUUGGAUCAUAUUUGAUAAUUUAUCAAGAUGGGGAGGCUAGGCACGAUGGCUCACACCUGUAAUCCCAGCACUUUGGGAGGCCGAGGCAGGGGAGGAUUUCUUGAGGCCAGAAGUUAGAGACCAGCCUAGGCAACAUAGCAAGACUCCACUUCUAUAAUUUUUUUAAUUGGCUGUGCUGGUACAUGCCUGUAAUCCCAGCUACUUGGAAGGCUAAACUGGGAGGAUUGCUUGAGCCCAGGAGUCCAAGGCAGCAGUGAGCUAUGAUUGUGCCACCGCACUUCAUUCAGCCUGGGUAAUGGAGCAAGACCCCAUCUCUAAAAAAAAUGAAAAAUUAAAAAUAAAUCAAAUUUAAAAAAAACAGGAGAGGGAGUUCUGUAAGGUUACAUUUGGUGAAGUCAAUGUGUAAGUUCAAAUGAUUUAAUAUCAAUUUGUUACUCAUAGGGUCAGAGCAUCCAGGUCACCUAUGGACAAAGGCUUCUAUGACUACGGUAAAUUUAGUCAAGGUAACAAAUGUGAGGCAUAACUAUGUGUCCUGUAUUCUAUAUGCAGUUACUCUGCUAGGAUUAGGGGAUGCAAUGUUUAAAUUUAGUGAAAUCUCAGGUAUAACAAAGUUUGAGCUCCAGUAUUGGUUAAGUUUGUGAAGGUAUGCCAAUUGGUAGACUUCAGCAGAUGUUAAAAUUGAUUCGAAUACAUGCUGGAGA